rnacentral:rRNA from 1 species
UAAUACGUAGGGGGCUAGCGUUGUCCGGAAUCAUUGGGCGUAAAGCGCGCGUAGGCUGUCAGUUAAGUCUGGUGUGAAAGUCAAAGGCUCAACCUUUGAAUGCCGCUGGAAACUGGCUGACUUGAGUCCGGAAGGGGCGAGUGGAAUUCCUGGUGUAGCGGUGAAAUGCGCAGAUAUCAGGAGGAAC